CCCCCCCCCCCCCCCCCGAUGGUAUGCAGUUACCUAAUGCUCACAGCACCGUGAUGUCCCUAGGAGUGCUGCAAAGAAGAUGCUGUUUUAUCGCUGUGAUCCUGUUUUCCUUACCAACCCUUUAGUUAGUAAAGGGGCAAAGAUCUGUGAUGUUGGAUACCAGAGCUCUCUCGCUGCAUUUAUGCCCUGUACGGAUGAUCUUGUUCUCAUCUUUGCAUGAGAUCACAAGCAGGGAGUGGUGUUUCACAAGCUUUCCUCCAGCUGCAGCUGAACGGAUUCAAGUGUUAGGGGGUUGUGCAUCCUGAGAGGAGGUGGCAGCUUGGUUUCCACCUAGGUCUUUGGCUUGAGAACAUCUUGGUCUUUCACGGGACAAAAUUACGAUUGUAAAAGUUGCAAGGCAGGACCCUAAACUAUUGAAUGGUGUUUAUUUUCCUUCCUGCCUUGGAAUUCCAGGAACUUUCCUUCAGCUUUGGGGUAGGAAAAUGUUUCCUUUGUUAUGCAGAGGCAGAGUCCUGGGCUAAAAGCUAAUGAGUGUCAUUAGAGCAGAUAAAGCAGAGAUACUAGGCAGCAAAUGGCUUCUCUUUAAAGCUAAACCAAACCUGUUAGUUCGGGGUUUCAGCCUGAACUUCGGUUUCGUCCUGUUUCUGAGUGGGAGGCAGUAAGGGGGGGUGAGGUGAGGCAUGCCAGGAGACAUGAUGUCAAAUCUGGCUUUUGAGCAGAUCUACCUGGGCAUCCUCACCUGCUUUCCUUGGGCAGAGCUCAAGACACAGAAGUGCCUUAUUCUCAAAGGUUUCAAAGGUCAUUUGGGUCCCUAAAUACCCAUGGGGAUUUGGACUUAGUUUCUACUCUGCUCUUAAAGAAGGAUUUAAUAGCACUUUCUUAUCCCCUGGAUAUCACAUACACGAUGAUAUCAAGAUAGACAAGAGAGACAAAGACCAAAAAAGUCACUGGCGAGAUCCAGAAGUUUGAUAUUUAAGUAAAACUUUCUUCAUACUUUUUUUGUUUCCAUGCAGGUGGAGUUAGUUUGCAGCUUUUGCUGUUCGUGCAGCUGUUCCAGUUGUGCUUAAACUGGUUUCCAAAAGGGUCCUGGUCAAUUUAAAAAGGUUAUCUGUAAGCAGCUGGGAAGCUGGAUUUCUAUCAAAAGUUAGGAAGUUGGACUUGUUACUUUUUGGACCAAGGGCAGGGGGCUUCUCCAGCAACCUGGCCCUUUCCUUGCCACAAGCAGACACAAUGUGUCGAGCUCUAAACCUGAACUGGUUUCUUUGUGGAGUACAAGACAUUGUGAUUCCUAAACAGAGUAUGAAAGCUGUUUCCUAUGCCUCAGAAACAGGCCAUUGUAAUGGGGUUUUGAUACUGAUGGUGUCAGUUAAUGUUUUAAAGCUAUUGCAGAUGCUCCCAUGGCUUAAGGACACUUACUCUUGGCUCUCAGCUCAUUUUCUUCAGGUGUCUGAUAGCAGGUUCCUGGCUGAGCUGUGAUGUGACUUCUGGCAGUUGACCUGACAACCUUGGAGCAGUUAAAGACCAACUGCGAGGUGCUCUAAGGGGUCAUGACUCAAAGGCCAGGCGACCUGCAAGCUGGGAAAGCUGGCUUCUCCCAUCUGUCCUUCAACUACCAUGUGCCAGUGACUUUACACCAUGCUGCAGUUCUGAAGCUUUCUGAAUAUCAACUAUACUUCUUCAUCCUUCCCCCCUGCGCCAAGAAAUCACAAACGUCCCCACCUUAGAGUUACUUUGUGACUGAUAAUUUCUCAUUUCUAUAUAGGGAAAGCCAAAGUAAGCAGCAGAGCUCAAGAAAGAGCUGAUGGCUCCUAGCACCAGUGGCUCAGUCUCUCGUACCUCCAGGGACCACCAUGCCUUGUUAGGAAAAAAGAAAAGGAAAAAAGGACUAUUGUGUGCAGGGAGACUGUCCUGGCUUAGUAGAGAAGAGAGGAGGGGGUCUGGUGCUCACAGGUGACUGAGGAGUCCCCAGCAGAGAGGCACUUCUGCUGUGUGUCAUCCUGGUCCCUAUCAUGGUGCUGUUGGGGUCUGGCCCUUCCUUUGUGUCCUACUGCUGCAGGACGAGGGACUCGCAGUAAAAAUGGGUGUUUAAGCUCCCAAAGUAAUAACAGCCUGUGCCAGCACUUUGUUCUGUCUCAACCUACAUGAAAAAAAAUAUGUAUAUAUAGCAAACCCACCCAAAACACAGCGCUGCCACUGUGGGUCUCAUGAGAUCAGUGUAGUUCAGCAGAGAGGGGACAGAAGCAAAAUCUCCAGUGUCAUUUGAAUUUUUUCACCACCUUUGGUAUCAUUGGGAGAUGCUCACAGUGGAUUUGCCUUAAUAGAUGUGGUGCAAGGAGGCAAAACUCCCAGCUCCUUUCUGCACCCGCCUUUGCUGUGGGCCUGGGAGCUGCUCCCUGCCGGGCUUCUUCCACUGCUUGCCCAGUGGCUGCUUUGCAGGGGCCGGUGGUGGGGUGGCAAGGGACGACCGCUCAGGGAGGCGAACAGAGAGGAAUUUUAUAAGGGGUGAGAAGGAAAAAAACAGUCAUCCAGCUCUGGGCGCUAGCCAGGAGCGAGGGGGAAAGUGGAGCAGGACUGCUCCAGCCGCAGAAGCCUCGCUCCCCGUCUGCUUGCAGCUCAGCCCUGAUGGCCGGGUGUUGGGGAGCUCUGCUCCGAGGGGCGUUGCAGAAAACAUCAACUAAAAAAUAGCUGUGGAUACCCUGGGACCUGUGGGGAAUGGCCAGGCUGGGCUGGGGGCUGUAACGAGAGACCCAGCUGCUUGUUCCUGGUGGCUUGGGUGUCAAUGCGGCAGCCAGGACGCCUGGGUCUUGUCUUAAAUCCAGCCUUGGCACUUCUAGUUUGUCAUCCCUGGCACCGCUUGCCUUGAUGUGGCUUGGCCCCCUGCCCCAAGCUAUCAAGAUGCCUGCAGGUACCGCGCUGGCCUCUCACUGGGCUGCACAUCACUUGCCGAGCUUCCCCAGGGAGUGGAUGACGCUUUGAGCUCUGCAGCUGGAGGACAAGAGCCAUAGUUAAAGCAAGCUGAGGUGUGCUGCAGCACCUGAUGGGCUCCAGAGUGCGUGCCCAAAGUUUAAAUAUUGCAAAUUUAAAAAUGGGAAACAGGUUGCUCUUCUUCCGCCGGGCUAAAUUUUGCUUGAUUUCUUUCCCCAGGGUUUGCUGGAUAACUUCCCGGGAGCCAGGCCACUCCCUCCAGGUUCUUUCCACUGUGUUUUACCAUUGCCCCGAUCGGCAGACCAGGGUUUUAACUCAUUUUGAAUUUUCAGGGACAGGAGCCCCGUGUCCAAAACACUUCUGAUUUCUCAGUUCUCAGCUCCAGGCAUCUCCUGGAGGCAGAAGGUGGCUGACGGUGCUCAGUCAGUCCCAGACUCAGCUCUGCAGCCCUGGUCAUGGAUGUGGUUAUCUGGGGCUUAUUGCAUCCAGGCCUGCUGUCUCCCUGGUCAGGAUUAUGCUAAAUGGAUGUGAGUUUUUGGACUCGGAGCAGUCCGGCUGUAUUUGCCAACAUCUUGCCAUGAACAGGGUGGGCUUUGCAUCCCCUUACUGCUCCGACGGUUUUAUAGAGUCCUGGCACCACAUUGCUCCUGGGUGCAAUUACUAUUCCCUAAUUGUAAAGCAGAAAAAUCAGCCCAGAAGUGCCUUAUAAUUGAGACAUCUGCCAUCACCAACUUCUCUGAAAAUUAACAUAAAAAUGCCAGAUCUCUCAUAAGAAAGUGUUUAAUACUUUCUGGGACUUGUUGAUACCUGCUGCCAGUGUGAAAAGCCUAAAUGGGUGGCCCAGUACAUUUUUCAGAAUUUAUCCUGAUUGCUGAAAACACCUUGGUUCUUAUCUAGCUGGGAAUGUUUGCCCUGCUUUUAACUCACCAAUUAUUUCUAGAGGGUGAAAAGAACGGGGGGAAGGGGAGGAGAAAAUUGGCAUACGUUGGUCCUCUGUAAAACUAGGGGUUGGAAGGCCACGAAGCACCAUCCUCAUGCCCUAACAAGUCACAACUCAGUUUUCCUAUUAAAAAAAAUUACUUGCUGUUGUUUCUUUUUUUGCCCUCUGUUUUCAGGGUGUCAGAAUUGGAACGGGACACUUGUUGGUGUUAAAGAAUGAUUGCAUUUUGGAGAGGAGACCCUUGUCUGAAAAACUUGUGUUUCAACUGUCCAAAGAUUUUGCACAGAUUUUACAAGCUCAGAUACGCUAACAUAGAUAUUCCCGGUAAGAAGCCGGAUUGAACCUUUUGCUUUCCUUUGCAACAUGUUUGGGGGUACAUGCUAACUGCUACUACUGAUUGGCAGAAGCUUACAAUUCCUUCACAUCAUCCUGAAACCAAAUUCAGCCUGUUAAAGACAAACAACCCACCAAGCAGCAUUUUUCUAAAAAAGGACACUUUAGGUAUUAUUAUUUUUAAUAAAGCUGCAUAAAGUUAGAUAGGAAAAAAAAAAUCCCUCUUUGGGCUGCUUUGACAACCGCUACCUACUGUCUUUAUUCACUGUGUGUUACAAUGACUGCUAGCUGAUGGGAUUUGAGAGGUUUAAUCAAAUUUAAUUAAAACUGGUGCUCCAUA